rnacentral:tRNA from 1 species
GUUUUGAUAGUUUAAUUUAAAACAAUGGUCUUGUAAAUCAUAAUUAAGAUAUUUCUUUCAAGACU